rnacentral:rRNA from 1 species
UACAAACUCGAGAAAGGCGCCCCACGACAUCAUUCACGACUUCAAGCUUUUCAAGAUGCACUCUCAGAUUGUAUGUUAGAGGAUAUUGGCUACGAGGGUGACAAAUUUACGUGGUUUCGUGGGGGUCUACGGGAGAGACUUGAUCGGGCCGUGGCUAAUGCCGGUUGGAUUCUCAUGCAUCCGCUGGCAGGUUUGUGUAAUCUCGAAAUGGGCAAGUCGGACCACUGGCCCAUACUCCUUGACACGGAUCAUCUUUUUGGAGUGGCCAACAGCAGCCCCAUUCAUAAGAAAAAGUUUGAAGCCCGGUGGCUGGCUGAAGAUACAGUUGAAGAGAUCGUUAAAACGGCCUGGCAAAAGGCUAACCAUCGGGGUUUUGUGUAA